rnacentral:lncRNA from 1 species
UUUGUUUUUGGGGCCUAGUGGAGCAGGAGCUGAGGUCAGUAAUUGCCCACUGGGAACUAUAGCUUAUAGUUCUCACGCCCUCUUUUUCUCGAUGUUUUCAGAGCCUUCCACUCAGGGCGAGGCUAGGGACCGCGGGAAGGGAGUUGCUUCGAGCUAGCUUCCUUUGAGGACGAUUCGCUAGGUGGUCUACCUCUCGUUGUGUUUUACUUUGGAGAGGUUGAGAGUUCUACCAGUGUAUUAGAGACCACCGUUUUUGUACUUUUGAGACAGAUAUUGUACUACUUAUGAUUUCUUUAUUGUCUAGCUUUGCUUGCUCUGAUAUCUCUAGUUGCUAGUUAUUUUAUUUCUUAUAUUUGUUCUAUCUCUUGCUUUUACUUCCGCUUUUAUUGUAGACGCCUUAUAUGUGUAGACAUAUGGCGGGUCUGGGCACGCUACUGGGAGGGCCUCCGCCGGUCCCGGGGCG